rnacentral:rRNA from 1 species
GAUGAACGCUGGCGGCGUGCCUAACACCUGCAAGUCGAGCGAACAGACGAGGCGCUUGCUCCUUUCUCGUUAGCGGCGCACGGGUGAGUAACGAGAGGAAAACCCACCUAUUAGACUGGCAUAACUCCGGGAAGCGGGCGCUAAAAGCGCAUCAUAUAUUGAUCCGCUUGGUCCAAUGGUCAUAGACGGUUUUGCGGUCACUUAUCGUCGGACCCCCGCCGCUUUAGCUAGUUGGUAAGGUAACGGCUUACCAAGGGAACGAUGCGUAGCCGACCUGAGAGGGUGAUCGGCCACACUGGAACUGAGACACGGUCCAGACUCCUACGGGAGGCAGCAGUAGGGAAUCUGGCGCAAUGGGCGAAAGCCUGACGGAGCAACGCCGCGUGAGUGAUGAAGGUCUUCGGAUCGUAAAACUCUGUUAUUAGGGAAGAACAAAUGUGUAAGUAACUAUGCACAUCUUGACGGUACCUAGUCAAAAAGCCACGGCUAACUACGUG